rnacentral:rRNA from 1 species
CCUACGGGAGGCAGCAGUGAGGAAUAUUGGUCAAUGGGCUUACGCCUGAACCAGCCAAGUCGCGUGAGGGAAGACUGCCCUAUGGGUUGUAAACCUCUUUUGUCAGGGAGCAACGCCGGCUACGUGUAGCCGGACUGAGAGUACCUGAAGAAAAAGCAUCGGCUAACUCCGUGCCAGCAGCCGCGGUAAUCGGGAGGAUGCGAGCGUUAUCCUGAUUUAUUGGGUUUAAAGGGUGCGUAGGCGGAAUGCCAAGUCAGCGGUAAAAGCGCGGGGCUCAACCUCGCUCCGCCGUUGAAACUGGCGUUGUUGAGGGGGCGAGAAGUAUGCGGAAUGCGUGGUGGAGCGGUGAAAUGCAUAGA